GGUCCUUGAUGUGUAGGAUAGGUGGGAGGCUUUGAAGCGUGGACGCCAGUCUGCGUGGAGCCAACCUUGAAAUACCACCCUUUAAUGGCUGGUGUUCUAACGUAGACCCGUGAUCCGGGUUGCGGACAGUGUCUGGUGGGUAGUUUGACUGGGGCGGUCUCCUCCCAAAGAGUAACGGAGGAGCACGAAGGUUAGCUAAUCCUGGUCGGACAUCAGGAGGUUA
rnacentral:rRNA from 1 species